rnacentral:rRNA from 1 species
ACUCAAAGGAAUUGACGGGGGCCCGCACAAGCGGAGGAACAUGUGGUUUAAUUCGAUGAUACGCGAGGAACCUUACCCGGGCUCGAACGGUGCAUGAAUAAUACAGAGAUGGAUUAGUCCUUCGGGACAUGUAUCGAGGUGCUGCAUGGUUGUCGUCAGCUCGUGCCGUGAGGUGUCGGCUUAAGUGCCAUAACGAGCGCAACCCUUGUCAUUAGUUACCAUCAGGUCAAGCUGGGGACUCUAGUGAGACUGCCACCGUAAGGUGUGAGGAAGGGGGGGAUGACGUCAAAUCAGCACGGCCCUUAUGUCCGGGGCGACACACGUGUUACAAUGGGAGGUACAGAGGGCAGCCAGUUAGUGAUAACGAGCCAAUCUCAAAAACCUCUCUCAGUUCGGAUUGGAGUCUGCAACUCGACUCCAUGAAGUUGGAUUCGCUAGUAAUCGCGCAUCAGCCAUGGCGCGGUGAAUACGUUCCCGGGCCUUGUACACACCGCCCGU